rnacentral:rRNA from 1 species
GGUUCAGGACGAACGCUGGCGGCGUGCCUAAUACAUGCAAGUCGAACGGUCUUUCUAUGGAAGCUUGCUUCCACUGAGAAGAUAGUGGCGAACGGGUGAGUAACACGUGGGGUAACCUGCCCAUAAGAGGGGGGAUAACAUCCGGAAACGGGUGCUAAUACCGCAUAGUUUUCUUGAUCGCAUGAUCGGGAAAGGAAAGACGGCCUUUGUGCUGUCGCUUAUGGAUGGACCCGCGGCGUAUUAGUUAGUUGGUGAGGUAACGGCUCACCAAGACGAUGAUACGUAGCCGACCUGAGAGGGUGAUCGGCCACAUUGGGACUGAGACACGGCCCAAACUCCUACGGGAGGCAGCAGUAGGGAAUCUUCCGCAAUGGACGAAAGUCUGACGGAGCAACGCCGCGUGAGUGAAAGAAGGUUUUCGGAUCGUAAAACUCUGUUGUCAGAGAAGAACAAGUUGGAGAGUAACUGCUCCAGCCUUGACGGUAUCUGACCAGAAAGCCACGGCUAACUACGUGCCAGCCGCCGC